GAUCUGCUCAAUGAUUAAAAAUUAAAUAGCUGCAGUAUUUUAACUGUACUAAGGUAGCAUAAUCAUUUGUCUUUUUAUUAAAGUCUAGAAUGAAUGAUUUAAUGAAAAAAUUUCUGUCUCAAAUUAAUUUAUAAAAUUUUAUUUUAAGUUAAAAUUCUUAAAAUUUAUUUAAAGACGAGAAGACCCUAUAGAAUUUUAUAAAAUUUUUUAUUUUUAUUUUAUAAAUUAUUAAAAUUAAUUUAAAUUUUAUUUUAUUGGGGUAAUAAAAAAAUUUAAUUAAAUUUUUUUAAUAAUUUUUCAUAAAUUAAUGUAUUUAUUUUAUCCAAAUUAUUUUGAAAUAAAAAUUAAUUACCUUAGGGAUAACAGCGUAAUUUUUUUAAAAAGUUCAUAUUGAUAAAAAAGUUUGCGACCUCGAUGUUGAAUUAAGAUAAAAUUUUAAUGUAGAAAUUAAAAAU
rnacentral:rRNA from 1 species